CAGCAUUUGGAUGCAGCCAACAUUCGGGGAGCAGCAGAGAUUCCUCAGCAAAAGAUUACAGAGGACCGUGGCGUUUAUGUCUUCAACAACCAACAUGUGUGGUGCCUCCUGAAUUCCAGGGGGUGCCAGUGGAAGAGGCUGUGAUACCUCAACACACUGAAGCUACAAUACUUCACUGGGAGGGAGACAAGUAUUUUAAAAAAACAGAAAGGUAAAAUAUUAUAUUAUAUCCACUCAUUUGCUAUACAGCUACAGUGAAAUAUCUUGUGACCAAUAG
rnacentral:lncRNA from 12 species